AACGAACGCUGGCGGCGUGGCUAAGACAUGCAAGUCGAACGGACCAUUAAUUCACUAGUGGUUAGUGGCGAAAGGGUUAGUAACAGGUGGGUAACGUACCUUGUGCUUCUGGAUAGCGUCAGUUACUUCGGUAACUUUCCGAAAGGGGCGAUAAUACAGAAUUAUAAUAAAAGUCGAUGGGCUUUUAUUCAAAGAUUUAUCGGCACAAGAGCGGCCUGCCUCCUAUCAGCUUGUUGGUGAGGUAAUGGCUCACCAAGGCUUUGACGGGUAGCGGGACUGAGAGGUUGAUCCGCAACAUCGGGACUGAGACACUGCCCGGACCUCCACGGAGGGCUGCAGUAACGAAUAUUGUGCAAUGGGCGCAAGCCUGACACAGCGACGCCGCGUGUAGGAGGAAGUCCCUCGGGAUGUAAACUACUGUCAGGGGGAAGAAAGUGUACUUCGGUACAUUGAUCCACCCCGGAGGAAGUCACGGCUAACUUCGUGCCAGCAGCCGCGGUAAGACGAAGGUGGCUAGCGUUGUUCGGUAUCACUGGGCUUAAAGCGUGUGUAGGUGGAAAAGUAAGCGUUUUGUGAAAUCCCCCGGCUUAACCGGGGAAUUGUGGGGCGAACUG
rnacentral:rRNA from 1 species